AUUGAACGCUGGCGGCAUGCCUUACACAUGCAAGUCGAACGGUAACAGGUCUUCGGAUGCUGACGAGUGGCGAACGGGUGAGUAAUACAUCGGAACGUGCCUAGUAGUGGGGGAUAACUACUCGAAAGAGUGGCUAAUACCGCAUGAGAUCUACGGAUGAAAGCAGGGGAUCGCAAGACCUUGUGCUACUAGAGCGGCAGAUGGCAGAUUAGGUAGUUGGUGGGAUAAAAGCUUACCAAGCCGACGAUCUGUAGCUGGUCUGAGAGGACGAUCAGCCACACUGGGACUGAGACACGGCCCAGACUCCUACGGGAGGCAGCAGUGGGGAAUUUUGGACAAUGGGCGCAAGCCUGAUCCAGCAAUGCCGCGUGCAGGAUGAAGGCCUUCGGGUUGUAAACUGCUUUUGUACGGAACGAAAAGCCCUGGGUUAAUACCCUGGGGUCAUGACGGUACCGUAAGAAUAAGCACCGGCUAACUACGUGCCAGCCGCCGCAGUAAAAC
rnacentral:rRNA from 1 species